GGACUACGCGGGUAUCUAAUCCCGUUUGCGCCCCAGGGCUUCGUCCCUCACCGUCGGAUCCGUUCUAGCAAGACGCCUUCGCCACCGGUGGUCCUUCUAGGAUUACAGGAUUUUACCCCUACCCCAGAAGUACCUCUAGCCUCUCCCGGUCCCAAGUUUGACAGUCUCCCCGGAAUUCGAAAAGUUAAGCUUCUCGAUUUACCCAAGGAUUUAUCAAACCGGCUACGAACGUUUUAGACUCAAUAAAAUCGACCACCACUUGGGCUGCAGGUAUUACCGCGGCGGCUGGCACCCGUCUUACCCAGCCCUUAUUCCAUCAGUUUUCUAAGCUGAAGAAAAGCUAACACAAAAAGUGCUAGCACUAGGAAUUCCCUCAUCGGGGUUGCCCCCAUUGUGAAGUUUUCGCGCCUGCUGCCUCCCGUAGG
rnacentral:rRNA from 1 species